rnacentral:lncRNA from 1 species
UUGGAUUUCCUUUGGCAGGGUUCCCUUGUAUGGAAGUUCUCAGGAGAACAACACUCUCAGAGUCCCACUGUCUCAAAGAAUUCUUAAUGGACAGGUAUUUUUAAAGAAGUCAGGGUUAUCCACAGCUAUGUACAUAUAAUACCAAAUCAGAUCAUUUAUUCUGUACCUGAGGCAAAAAAGCUUCUGAUUCCUGAAUGGAUUUCUUCACUGGUUCUUCUGGGGGAUGAGAGAGAGAAACCAUUUACAAAGCUGAAGGAGAGCUAAGUCCACCCCUACACUGGCUGAGUUUCUUUGUAUAACAACUGUUCUCCCUUCCUAUUUUCUUCAAUUAUCUCUUCUUUCCCCAGCUAUACUUGGCCCCAAGGUUUCAACCUCACACUGAAGAAAGUGACAUAAGAAAACACAAGUCCCAGUGCUAUCAGGGGCUAUCUGGAAAAGCUGCUUAAACAGCAAGUGAAAGAAGGCUCUCCCCUACCCCGUUCUAGACUCACCCUGAAGUUAUUUGAAGGAUCCUUGAGACUCUUUUGGAUUGCUGCUUGGAGAACAUUCCUGUAACUUGUCCCUGCUCCUUGAACUAUAAAAGCAGAAGGGAGGUACUGAGUUAAAACUUACAAAUUAUUAUC